rnacentral:rRNA from 1 species
AUGCCGAUUGCGGCCUCAUCGGCUCCGCAGGCGGCGACCAGAACUAGCAGGACCGCCACGUCCCUCCUCUGUUCCUUCUCGUCCUUCCCCUUUCCUUGUUCCCGAUCUGAAUCUCUCUCCCCCUCUUUUCUUCAGGUAACAGUAGUUGCUACUGCCCUCAUGGAGCUCCCACGCAGGUCCUCGAUGUCGUUCCGCGCUAGAUCCGGCCGGGGACCGUUGGAUCUCGCCGCCUCCGCCAUGAACCGUCCAUCCCUGGCCUCCUGUGCGUGUCGCCGCUUCCCUGCAUCGCCUGGAGCCGCCUGCGUCUCGCCUCCUCUGUGUGUUUCCUCUGCAUCGAGCGGCAGCUCGGGAACGAGCACCCCGCCCCGCGUUGACCGUGAUUCGUUAGCGCCAGGCCCAGCUGCACCAUGCCCCUGCGAGGCCGCUUCCUCAUCGGCCCACCUCUCCACCGAGUGGGUUUGGCCCAUGGUGGGCAGCCCAGCUCCUCCAGUUCUGGCCCGAUGUUAG